rnacentral:rRNA from 1 species
UACGUAGGGGGGCAAGCGUUUGUCCGGAUUUAUUGGGCGUAAAGAGCGUGUAGGCGGCUAGAUAGGUCCGUUGUGAAAACUCGAGGCUCAACCUCGAGACGUCGAUGGAAACCAUCUGGCUAGAGUCCGGAAGAGGAGAGUGGAAUUCCUGGUGUAGCGGUGAAAUGCGCAGAUAUCAGGAAGAACACCCGUGGCGAAGGCGGCUCUCUGGGACGGUACUGACGCUGAGACGCGAAAGCGUGGGGAGCGAACAGG